rnacentral:rRNA from 1 species
AUGGAGGAGAUGGGGGAGGAGAGCAGCAGGUAUCCAUGGCAGGACUACGACCUGGGCUUCGGGGAGGAGCUCAUGAGGGAGCUCCUCGACCAGACGACGACGGCGCCAACGCCAUCGCCAGCAGCAAUGGCGGCCGGCGCCGCGAGCGCUGAUAACUCUUCUUCUUCCGAUAAGGGGAUCGGUGACGAGGAGGAAGGGGCGGCGGGGCGCCGGGAGUCCAUGGAAAACAGGCUCAUGUCGACGGUCUACUCCGGGCCCACCCUCAGCGACAUCGAGAGCGCCCUCUCCUUCACCGGCGCCGGCGCCGGCGACCCGCUGGACGGCCGCAGCAAGUACCACUACAGCCCCUCCAGCCCAGUGUACGUCCCUCGUAUCUAUGCCAACAACAACCAUAUACAAUUCUCCGUAGAUGCAAGCUCAAUUUGGACAUCUGUGUGGAAAUUCAGGGUUUUCUCGCCGGAGAAGGUGCUGGGCAAGAUGGAGAACAAGUACACGAUGAAGAUCAAGAGCUGCGGCAACGGGCUCGCCGACGAUGGGUACAAGUGGAGGAAAUACGGCCAGAAAGCCAUCAAGAACAGCCCCAACCCAAGGAGUUACUACCGUUGCACGAACCCGCGGUGCAACGCGAAGAAGCAGGUGGAGCGCGCCGUCGACGAGCCGGACACGCUCGUCGUCACCUACGAAGGCCUCCACCUCCACUACACCUACUCCCACUUCCUCCAGCAGCAGACCAACCCUCCACCCGCCGCCGCCGCCGCCGCCUCAAGCUCCAAGAAGCCCAAGCUGCACCCCACCGCCGGCGCCAUUACAGUUACAGACUCCCACCACGGGAGCACCCCUGUGCCAACAACCUCGCCCCCGUCUGCCGCCGUCGUGCCUGCCGGCGCCGGGGACAGCAGCGGCGACAGCGGCGGUAACGUGACAGCCGACGCGGGCUUCCUGCUGGAGCACGCGGUGCCCAACUGCUCGCCGUAUCUCUUCGACGGCGGCUUGCUUAGUGAUGCCGGCGAGGAGCGGCGGAUGCCGAGCGACGCCGGCGGGCUCCUGGAGGACAUGGUGCCGCUGAUGGUCCGGCGGCCGUCGUGCAACUCGGCGGCCACCACCGCCAGCUCGUCGACGACGCUCGGCUCGCCCCCGGCACCGAUGUCCUCGCCUUCUCCCUCCACGUCGUCCGUGUCCUGGACCCCCGCGUCGCCAUACAUCGACAUGGCCGUCCUCUCCAACAUCUUCUAG